rnacentral:rRNA from 1 species
UACGUAGGGGGCAAGCGUUGUCCGGAUUUAUUGGGCGUAAAGAGCGUGUAGGCGGCCACACAGGUCUGCUGUGAAAACUCGAGGCUCAACCUCGAGCUGUCGGUGGAAACCGUGUGGCUAGAGUCCGGAAGAGGAGAGUGGAAUUCCCGGUGUAGCGGUGAAAUGCGCGGAUAUCAGGAAGAACACCCGUGGCUAAGGCGGCUCUCUAGUACGGUACUGACGCUGAGACGCGAAAGCGUGGGGAGCGAACAGG